CGGAAGUAUAUAAGGAGCACCUAGAAAACCAGUCAGUAUCUCAUUGUCUUUCGGGACUGUUCUGUCUGAUCGCUAUUGUAUCGACUCCGCUAAAUAUAAAGGUCAAAAAGAGCAAAAAAGUCAACUGGAUCUCCAUACCAAAGAAAGGACAUCAAGGUCAAAGCCAAAUGCAGUGUUGCAGGAUAAAACCACCGAUGGUACAGCGAGUGCUAAAUUUAUGGAGGUUGAUGUCACAAUCAUUGAUAAAAAAGCAUGUCAGAAGUACUGGGGGAAAACAUACUCUACCUCAAGGAUGGUGUGUGCAGGUGGUCGUGGAGGAUUUUGUCAGGGUGAUUCUGGAGGGCCUUUGGUGUGCAACAAAGUUGCAGUUGGUGUCGUUUCAUUUAAUCAGCCAAACAACUGAGACUCACCAACAUUACCCAAUGUCUCCACCAAGAUUUCCAAAUUUCUGCCUUGGAUAAAAUGUAUUUUUGGAGGUGUGAA